rnacentral:misc_RNA from 1 species
AGAGAAUGCAUCAGAUCCCUGCCAUUAAAAAAGGAAUACCAAGGUCAAUUUAGUGAAGAUGUUGAUAGCUAGAAGGUCAUCUAAUUUUACAACCUACAUCCGCGCCCAGUUCCUUGCUGGAAGCAUGCACACAUGGUACGUUUAUUUAUAUAUACAUUAUUAGCUUCUAUAGAGUCUUCAUGUCAUUAUACCAGCAGACUGCAAACAUGCUUACUUGUCAUGGCAUUGAAAGUCCUAGAACAUUUUGGGAUUCUAUUCAUUUCAAGCAUAUCUGCAUAGAGUCAUCUCAUUGCAAGAUGAUUAAAAAAAAAAGGUGCACGGAUAUAGCUUGCUUGGCAUUCCUUCACAAAGUGGGAUAUUGUGGCCUUCAAAAAUCAUUUGAUGCUCAAUGCCAUUAUGAAUUGUAAUAUUCCAAAUUUUUAAAUAAUUAUUUUAUGUGUAAAUUAUGAUAUUUUAAUGUAUUAAACAUUAUGGUAUUUAAUUUGAAUUUCUGUAUUUUCAAAAUUGAGUUUUUAUUUUUCGAAGCAAUUAAUUUUAAUGAUUUUUAAAAAUUAAUUUAAAAACCACGUGGCAAAACUAAAAAUA